AGUGUGGCAUGGACAGAGAAUCUGUGUGCAUGGGAAAAAGAGAGCACAGCAAUUGUGAGACAUUGCAUUGAAAUCAGUGCUACCCUGUCACAGCAGAAGGCAAAACUGAGUUGAACUCAGGUGAUGCCCACCCAUGGAGGGAGCAGUUAAAUCAGGCAUAGCGAAAGGAGAAUUGCCCAUCUCAGCAGUCAGAACUUGAGCUCUGGCAAGCCUUGCUACCAUGGACUAACAUGCUCUGGGGCUCUACAGAAAUUUGAAAGACAGUCUAGGCCUCAAGGACUGCAAAUCCUAGGUGAGUCUUACUGCUGAACAGGGCUCAGAGCCAGUGGACUUGGGAGGCACAUGACCUGAGACAUCAGCCAGGGUGACUAAGGAAGUACUUGCACCACCCCUCCCCCAACCCCAGGCUAAAAGGCUCUGGGCUCCAAAAGAGACCUAUUCUUUUCACUUGAGGAGAAGAAAGGGAAGAGUAAAGAUAUCUAAGAUGUUUUGCAUCGUGGAUACCAGCUCAGCAACAAUAGCAGAGGGCACCAGUUAGAGUCAUGAGGCCCCUUUCCAGACACUAGCUUCCAGAUGACAUAUCUAGACACACCCUGGGCCAGGAGGGAACCUUCUGCCUUGAAGGGAAGGAUCCAGUCCUUUCAGGACCCAUCACCUGCUGAUAAAGAGCCCUUGGCCCCUGAAUAAUCAGCAGCAAUUCCCAAGUAGUACACCAAGGGCCUUGAGUGAGACUCUGAGACUUGCUGGCUUCAGGUGAGACUUAAUACAUUCCCAGCUGUGAUGACUAUUGGAAAAGACUCUUUCUGCUUGAGAAAAAGUGGAAGGAACAGUAAACAGGGCUUUGUUUCGCACCAUAGGUACUAGCUGAGCCACAAGGGCAUAGACCACCAAGCAGGCUCUUAGGGUCCCUAAUUAUAGGCCUUGGCUUUUGGAUGGCAUUUCUGGACCUGCCCUGGGUAAGAACAGAGACAAAGUCCCUUGAAGGAUAAGUCUGAGGCCAGGCAGCAAUCACCACAAGCUGAAUAAAGAGCGCUUGGACCUUAAGGUAACAGUGUUCCCCAUGGGCCUUAGAUGGUGGUGACCACAGGGUGAGGCUCCUCUGCCUAUGGAAAGGAGGGGGAAGAGUGUUAAAAACUGCAUCUUGUGGUUUGAGUGUCAGCUCAGCUGCAGCACAAUAGAACAUCCGGUUGACUUCUAAGUUUUUUUAAUCCAUUCUCUGGCUCCUGGAUGGCACCUCUCUCUGAACUGGCCCAGGGACUGGGGGAGUUCACUACCUUCUAGGGAAGGAUGCAAGCCUGGCAGGCUUUGCUACCUGCUGACUAUAGAGUUCCAGGGCCUGAGAAAACAUAGAUAGUAGCCCAGCAGUGGUUACAGAGGUGAGACACAGUGCUGUGCUGUCUUCAGGUCUGACCCAGCUACUGAUGGUGGCCACUGAGAUAAUUGUGUCGCCCAAUGCCCAGCUCUAGACAGGUUAGAAUAUAGAGAGAGACUAUUAGCUUGUAAGAAAGUGAGAGAAGAAAAUAAGAAUCUCUGCCUUGUAAUCCAGAUAAUUCUUCUGGAUAUUAUCCAAGAUGAUCAAGGCGGUACCUCUAUGUGUCUGCAAGAAACACAGUGUUACUGGGAUUGGGGUGCCCCUUAAUGCAAAUACAGCUUAGAUCACAAGAUCACAGCACUCAGGUUCUUUCACAUAUCUGGAAUGCCUGCCCAAGAAGGAUGGGCAGAAAGAAGCCCAAACUGCAUAAACUACAAUAAAUGCUUAACUCUUCAAUGCUCAGAUGACAACGAACAUGCAGAAACAUCAGGACCACUUAGGAAAUCAUGACCUCACCAAAUGAACCAAGGGUCAAGGGAGAGGCACCAGGGACCAAUUCUGGAGAAACAGAGAUAUAUGAUCUUUCAGGCAGAUAAUUCAAAAUAGCUCUUUUGAGAAAACUCAAAGACAUUCAAGAUAACACAGAGAAGGAAUUCAGAAUUUUAUCAGAUAAAUUUAACAAACAGAUUGAAAUAAUUGAAAAGAAACAAGCAGAAAUUCUGGAGCUGAAAAAUACAAUUGGCAUAUCAAAGAAUACAUCAGAGUCUUUUAGUAACAGAAUUGAUCAAGCAGAAGAAAAAAUUAAUGAGCUUGAAGACAGGCUAUUUGAAAAUACACGGAGCAGAAAAAAAUAAUAAAAUACAAUAAAGCAUGCCCAUAGAUCUAGAAAAUAGCCCCAAAAGGGCAAUUCUAAAGGUUAUUGUCCUUAAAGAGAAGGCAGAGAAAGAGAUAAGAAUAGAAAAUUUAUUCAAAGAGAUAAUAAAAGAACUUUCCAAACAUAGAGGAAGUUAUCAACAUUCAAGUACAAGAAAGUUAUAGAAAACCAGGCAGAUUUAACACAAAGAAGAUAACCUCAAGUCAUUUAAUAAUUAAACUCUCAAAUACCAAGGAUAAAGAGAGGAUCCUAAAAGCAGUGAGAGAAAAUAAAUAAAUAACAUACAACAAAUCUCCAACAUGUCGGGCAGCAGAUUUUCUGUGGAAACCAUACAUGCUAGGAGAGAGUAGCAUGAUAUAAUUAACAUGCUGAAGGAAAAAAAAAAAAAAAACUUUAACCCUAGAAUAGUAAAUCUAGGAAACAUAUCCUUCAAACAGGCAGGAGAAAUAAAUACUUUCUGAGACAAACAAAAGCUGAGGGAUUUCAUCAAUGUCGGACCUGUCUUAUAAGAAAUGCUAAAGAGAACAUUUCAAUCAGAAAGAAAAGGCUGUGAAUGAGCAAUAAGAAAUCAUCUGCAGAUACAAAACUCACUGGUAAUAGUAAAUGCACAGGAAAACAUAGAAUAUUAUAACAUCAUAAUUGUGGUGUAUAGACUACUCUUAAGAAGAGAGACUAAAUGAUGAACCAAUCAAAAAUAAUAACUACAAUGACUUUUCAUGAUAUACACAGGCUGGGCAUGGUGACUCAAGCCUGUAAUCCCAGGACUUUGGGAGGCUAAGGCAGGCAGAUUGCUUGAGGUCAGGAGUUCAAGACCAGCCUGGCCAACAUAGCGAAACAUCAUCUCUACUAAAAGUACAAAAAUUAACUGGGAGUAGUGAUGUGCACAUGUAAUCCCAGCUACUCUACUCCAGAGACUUAGGCAGGAGAAUUGCUUGAAACUGGGAGGCAGAGGUUGCAAUGAGCCGAGAUCACACCACUGCACUCCAGCCUGGGCAACAGAGUGAAACUGUCUCAAACACACACACAUACAAUUCCAAUGCUCUGUUGCCUACAAGAAACACACUUCAGGCCAGGUGCAGUGGCUCAUGCCUGUAAUCCCAGCAAUUUGGGAGGCUAAGAUGGGUGAAUCUCUUCAGGUCAGGAGUUCAAGACCAGCCUGGACAAUAUGGUGAAACCCAUCUCUACUAAAAGUAAAAGAAUUAUCUGGGCGUGGUGGCACACACCUGUAAUCCGAACUACUCAGGAGGCUGAGGGAGGAGAAUCUCUUGAACCUAGGAGGCAGAGGUUUCAGUGAUCUGAGAUUUCGCCACAGCACUCCAGCCUGUGCUGCACAGCAAGAGUUUGUCCCCUCACCCCCCCCAAAAAAAAGAAAGGAGAAAAGAAGAAAAAAAAAGUACACUUCACCUGUAAAGAUACACAUAGACAGAAAAUAAAGGGAUGAAAAAUAAUACCCCAUGCCAUGCCAAUGGAAACCACAAAAGAGCAGGAGUAGCUAGACAGAAUAAAUUUCAAGAUAAAAACUAUAAAAAGAGAAAAGGUCACUCUAUAAUGAUAAAGGUGUCGAUUCAGUAAGGGCAUAUAACAAUUGUAAGUAUAUAUUUACUCAACACUGGAAAACUCAGAUAUAUAAAGAAAAUACUAUUAGAGCUAAAGAGAGAAAGAUCCCAAUACAAUAAUAGCUGGAGACUUAACACCACACUUUGAGCAUUAGACAGAUCUUCCAUACAGAAGACACAAGAAGAAAUAUUGUAUUUAAUCUACACUAUAGAACCGAUAAAACUAAUAAGUAUUUACACAACAUUUCAUUCAAUGGUUGCAGAAUAUACACUGUUCUCCUCAGCAGAUAAAUUAUUCUCAAGGAUAAACCUUAUGUUAGCUCACAAAGAAAGUCUUAAAAUAUUCAAAAAAUACUGUAAUAAAGUUAAGCAUCUUCUCUGACCACAAUGUAAUAAAACUAGAAAUCAUUAAUAAAAUGAAUUUUGAAAACUAUUCAAACACAUGGAAAUUAAACAAAAUAUACCUGAAUAACCAGUGAGUCCAUGAAAAAAUAGAAAAUAAAAUUUAAAAUUUUCUUGAAACAAGUGAUAAUGGAAACACAACAUACCAAAACCUAUGGGAUACAGUAAAAGCAUUACUAAGAGGUAAGUUUGUAGCUAUAAGGACCUACAUCAAAAAACAAGAAAGUCUUCAAGUAAAUAACCCAAUGAUGCAUCUUGAAGAACUGGAAAAGCAAGUGCAAACCAAAUCGAAAAUUAGUAGAAGAAAAGAAAUAGUAAAGAUCAAAGCAGAAAUAAAUGAAUUAGAAAUGAAGAAAAUAAUGUAAAAGAUGAAUAAAACAUAAAGUUGUGUUUUGAAAAGUUAAACAAAUUAGACAAACUGUUAGCCAGACUAAGAAAAAAAGAGAGAAGCUCAAAAAUAAAUAAAAUCAGAGAUGAACAAGGAGACAUUACAACAAUACUGCAGAAACUCAAAGGAUCAUUAGUGACUACUGUGAGAAACUGUAUGCAAAUAAAUUGGAAAAUCUAGAAAUGGACAAACUCCUAGACACAAACAACCUAAACUUGAACCAUGACGAUAUCCAAAACCUGAACAGAUAAAUAACAACUAACGGGCUUAAGCCACAGUCGAAAGUCACUCAGUAAAGAAAAGCUCAGGAUCUGAUGGCUUCGCUGCUUACUUCUAUCAAAUAAUUAAUGAUGAUCUAAUAUCAUUUUACUCAAACUAUUCUGAAAAAUAGAGAAGGGAAUACUUCCAAUCCUGUUCUAUUCUGUGAGACCAGUAUUAUCCUGAUACCAAAACCAGACAAAGAGACAUCAGAAAAAACUAUGGCCCAAUGUCUCUGAUAAAUAUUGAUGCAAAAAUUCUCAACAAAAUACUAGCAAACCAAAUUCAACAACACAUUAGAAAGAUCAUUCAUCAUGACCAACUGGGAUUUAUCCUAGGGGUGCAAGGAUGCUUCAACAUACACAAAUUAAUUAAUGUGAUAUGUCAUGUCAACAAAAUAAAGAACAAAAACUAUAUGAUCAUUUCAAUUAAUGCUGAAAAAGCAUUUGAUAAAAUUCAACAUCCCUUUAUGAUAAAAAGCCUUAGAAAUCUGGAUAUAGAAAGAUUAUACCUCAACAAAAUGAAGGCAGUGUACAACAGACUCACAGCUAGUAUUAAACUAAAUGAGGGAAAACCAAAACCCUUUCCUCCAAGAUUGAGAACACAACAAGGAUGCCCACUUUCACAAGUUUUAUUCAACACAGUUCUGUAAGUCCUCCUAGAGCAAUUAGACAAGAGAGACAUAAAGGGCAUCCAAAUUGGAAAGAAAGAAGCCAAAUUAUCCUUGUUUGCACGUAAUCUGAUUUUAUAUUUGGAAAAACCUAAAGACUCCACCAAAAAACUAUUUGAACUGAUAAACAAAUUCAGUAAAGUUGCAGGAAAGGAAAUCAACAUAGAAAAAUCAGUAGCAUUUUAUAUGCCAAUAGUGAACAAUCUGAAAAAGAAAUCAAGAAAGUAAUUCAAUUUACCUUAGUUACAAAUUAAAUUAAAUACCUAGGUAUUAACUUAGCCAAAGAAGUGAAAGAUCUCUACAAUAAAAACUAUAAAACACUGGUGCAAGAAAUUAAAGAGGACACUAAAAAAUGGAAAGGCAUUUUAUGUUCAUGGAUUGGAAGAAUCAAUGUGAAAAUCUCUAUACUACCCAAAACAAUCUACAGAUUCAAUGCAAUCCCUAUCAAAAUGCCAAUGACAUUCUUCACAGAGAUAGAAAAAACAAUGCUAAAAUUCAUAUGGAAACAAAAGAUACCCAGAAUAACUAAAGCUAUCAUAAGCAAAAGAAAACAAAACAAAAAAGAGAACUUGAGGAAUCACAUUACCUGAGUUCAAAUUAUGCUAUAGAGCUAUAGUAACAAAAAUGGCAUGGUACUGGUAUAAAAGCAGAUAUGUAAAUCAGUGGAACAGAAUAAAGAACCCAGAGAUAAAUCCAUAUGUCCACAGCACAGUGAACCCAUUUUUGGUGAAGGUGCCAAGAACAUACACUGGGAAAAGGACAGUCUUCAAUAAAUGAUGCUGGAAAACUGGAUAUCCAUAUACAGAAAAAUGAAAGCACAAUCCUAUCUCUCACCUUAUACAAAAAUCAACUCAAAAUGGAUUAAAGACUUAAAUCUAAGACCUCAAACAAUGAAACUACUACAAGAAAACUGUGUUGAAACUCUCUUGAACAUUGGACUGGCAAAGAUUUCUUGAGUAAUACCUAACUAACACAGACAACCAUAGCAAAAAUGGACCACAUCAGGUUGAAAUACCUAACCAACACAGAUAAUCCAUAGCAAAAAUGGACCACAUCAGGUUGCAAAACUUCUGCACAGGAAAGGAAACAAUCAAUGAAGUGAAAAGAUACCCACAGAACCAAGGAAAAUAUUUGCAAACUACUCACUUACUAUAUGUCAGACUACCUCCAUUUUAAUUUUCUGGAGGCAAUUCUUCCUCUACAUGGAAAAACAAUAGUCAGGGAAAAGUCAUACAAGCAAAUGCAAAGCGCAUACAGUCAUAAUUUGUUGAUUCCCUUUUUUUGGUAUGCCCAUGAAAAAAAAUUAUACAGGAAGUAGGAUUAUGCAGGAUUUAUUUAAAUAAUACCUGACGCAUUUUCUUUGGAUGUGAGCUAAAUGGCAGAAGCGUGUGAAUAUAAGUACGCUUUGACUAGCAGGUGAGAACGGAGACAUUAAUGAGAAUGAUGAGACAUUUUUGAUAGAUGAUGUGGUAUUCUCAGAGCUGAGAUGUUGUAGGGAGAUAAAAAAAAAAUACCUCCAUAUUUUCCAAAUUAUACAACCCUUUCAUGACGAUCAAUUUAUUUCACACAUACUCUGUUAAUUGGACAUGGUUAUUUCUCCUAUUCUAGAAUAAAUAUAAAAUCGCAAAAAUUUAAGUGACAUCCUAAAAACUCAGAGACCUGCUGGUGACGGCAUUAGGAUCUGAAUGGUAGGGAGUCUCUCUGAGAGAUUACUACUUCAUGCCAGUCAAGUGAUGAUGACUAAGAGAACAAAUGACUUUCAUCUGGAAGGCUUGUGAGGGGUGAAAAUUUAUGAGCUUCACUUUACGGAGAACGCCAUCAACUUUCCAGACAGGAAAAGGCUGGCAGACAACAUGUUUCUUUCAAUCAGCUUUAUGUUCACCAUUUCCAACAAAAGGCCCUAGGAUCAAUCAUGCUGUCUCUAGUGGUUAUAUUUCUUCUAUUUUGGUCAACUACUCAAGAGAAUGAUUUGGAAGGAAAAUUAUUGACUGUGACUUUCUUACCUGAGAACAUGGCCAGGAGAAUGAAGAGAAAGAAAAUGAAAGCCCUCAUGGUACCGUCAGUUGUUUCAGACUUGACUGUUGGGUGGAGUUAAGCCUAACUCUGCACUAGAUGCUCUUCAAAUAAACCAUGCUCACCACCACCAUGUUAUAUAUUGGAAAAAUUCUUCUCCCUAACUGCCAAACACUGUCACAGUCUUUAGUAAAUUACAGAGUAAUUUUCACAAACUGGAAAGUAUUGCUUCUUGAAUGAACUGUCAUUUUCAAAAUUAGCUCCAUGCCCCAACUUCCAUAAAUAUUCAAACUUUAAUAUGUGUCUAUUAGGUAUCUUCCUCCCAGAAGAAAAUUAAAAUGAUGAAACCCAUCUGGGAAAGUGGUAAAUUCAGUGUUCACUUUUUUAUUGUUAAGGGAUGGCUUAUCUUCAGUUAGUAUUAUUAUUUGUUCUCCAAGUUUAUGUGGCCAUGAGAGAAACUUUCAAGUGAUUUAUGUGUCAAUUAUUUACCUCAAAUUAUCUUUUAAAAGCAAGUAAAAAUGCAUUGAAUAUUGGUCAUUAGCAGUAAUGAAUGCAGACAGUAUUCAUCAAGAUGAAUGGUGACAAGAAAUGCAUUUUUAUGAGUUAACAGGAGACAGUAGAGCCCAUGUUUAAGAAAUAACAUUACACAAUUGGCAUUGUUGCUUCAAGUUAUUACGUCAAACAGCAGCUCAUGGGAAAAUCACCUUGGGAUUUUUAGUUCGUCAUAAGCUCAAUGUUAUUAGACAUUGGAAUAUUCAAGAUUGGUUUCUCUAAAUAAGAGAAACUUGAAUCAGUUGGAGCAUGUCCAAAAGAUAACUUUGAUAAUGUGAGGUCUGGAGACCAUAAAGCGUGAAAUAGAUUUAUGGCAGUAGAAAAUGUAAGCUCAGAAAAGCACAAACUCGGGAGUGUUACUGUCAUUGGCUUCAUCUUCUCAAGGGCAUCACUAUGGAGAAGAAAGAUAUUAUUUGAACUUUUUAGUUACAGAGAGCAGAAAUAAUAUAAGGAAGUUCAGGAUAAAUAUCUUAGAGUUCUAAAGAAAAUUUCAACUUUCGGAGGAGAGAUUAACUAGACCAUUUUUCCAAUUACUUCCGAUUCUAAGACUUUCAGAUUUAGUGGUUCUGGAUUGUGUUUGAUUUUCUCUUCAACUUAUUUAGAAGAAGGAGAAGUUUGAAAAUAAUAGAUGAUUUCUUUUAAUCAAACAAGCAAUUUUAUGGCAUCAAAAGAGACCAAGUUUAAGUUUCCUAUAGUAAGAAAGCAACUUUUUCUCCCUGCAUAAUUAUCUUCUAAACUGACUGGAAUUCACGUGAGUAUCAAAGGAAGCUUAUGGAACCAGACAGAGUUGGAUUGUUUAUAUAACACACAGACACACAUACACACACACACACACAUAUAUAUAUAUACUCACACAUAUAUGGAUGGAUUGUUUACAUAUAUAUAUAUACAUACACACAUAUAUAUAAACACACAGCUCAGGUUAAUUUUUCAAAAUUUUUAUUAUGAACUGCUGCAAUAUACAGACAAAAUUAAAGAAUUCUGCAGUGAAAACCCACUAAUAUGGUUUGGCUGUGUCCCUACCCAAAUCUCAUAUUGAAUCUCAUAAUUCCAUGUUGUGGGAGGGACCUAGUGGGAGAUAAUUAAAUCAUGGGGGCAGUUUCUCUCAUACUGUUCUUGUUUAGUGAAUAAUUCUCACAAGAUCUGGUGGUUUUAUAAGGGGAAAUCCCUUUUGCUUGAUUCUCUCUUCUCUUUUCUGCCUCCAUGUAAGACAUUCCUUUUGCCUUCUGCCAUGAUUGUGAGCCCUCCCCAGCCACAUGAAACUGUGAGGCCAUUAAACCUCUUUCUUGGUAAAUUACCCAGUCUCAGGUAUAUCUUUAUAAGCAGCGUGAAAAUGAACUAAUACACCAAUACACACACCAUUAAGAUUAAUCAAUUAACAUUUUGCUAAAUUUCUUCUACUAUAUCUCUAUCAAAAUAGGUAAAUUUUGUAGAAGUUAUUUUCACAUGCAGGUACUCAUUAAUGGAACUCAAUGUAGUAAAUUUCCAAAUAACAAAUGGGUCACAACAGAUGCUUUUGUAUUUUGCCUAAACCAUUGCCUCUUAAACACUCAGUGCUCCCAUCUGUCCUGCCCAUGCUUUUUUCUAACUCCAGUACUGCUGAUAUAACACAAUAGCAAUAUCAAUAAUAAAUGUUGAGUGUCUUGUAGGUCAGGCAGUAAUAAAGUAAACUCUCAUCAAGUUCAUACUCUGAGGUCUUAGAAACUGUCUAUUUGUUGAAGGUGUUCUUGGUUGCAUGGAGUAAGAUUGCGCCGUCUCUCUUUACGUACCUGUUUUCCAAAUCAUUUCAGAAGGCUUUUUGACUAAUUUUUUUAGAUGCUACAGUUAUCUUACCUGAAACAUUAAAUUUUUCUUAUAGUAAUGGAAAUUUUCCCAUCUGUAGAAUUGUCUUCCAUUUUUACUCUCCUUCACAUUUGAGGGUAAGGUCAAAAUUCUGGCUUGGAGCAGGCUCACCACACCUGCAUAUUUAAGAAGGAGGAUAAUGUGUUUCAUAUGUCUUGGAGUGAAAUGUUGGGCCAAGGCUUUUCUUUCAGUUGUCAUUAUACUUGGUGGAAAUAGCAAUAGCAAUGGAGUCAAAUGACCCAAGGUGUCUGUCCUUUUUUAGCUAUGUGUUAUGCAAGUUAAUCUUAAUCUCUCUCUCUCUCUUUCUCUCUCUCUCCUCUUUCUCUAUAUACUUACCUAUCUAAUCAUCUCUUCACUUUGCCUACCCAGGGGGUAAAAAAUAACAAAAGCUUUUCAUAAAAUAGGAGGAUCUCAGCAAAAUUCUAGCAGUUGAAACUCUUUAGACAAUAAUUUAUUGAAGCUGACCUAAGAUGAGAAUUUCUUAUUCAAUAUACAUUUUUUUUUAAAGAUGAAGCUUGUCUGUAAACAUAGUGUUGUUAAUUGUGGUCUACUAAAGGGAACAUAACUCCUAAUCCUGGGACUCCUAGAUUAAGAGGCCUAUUUGACCUAGAGCAGGUCUUCUCAUUUUGACUUGCAACAUUGUUUUUCGAAUUGGAUAAAGCUAUCUCUUCCAUAGCAUUUUAGUGAAAAUUAAAGGAGCUAAUUUAUAAAUAAAAAUUCCUUGUAAAUUAAAAGUGUGAUUUGUAGUCACUAUGAUUAACCAUCUUUAUCAUCAUCAUAAAAAAAAUCAUGUUACAGCUUCAGUCAUUGACUGGUCUGGUCCAGAAUUCCGUAAAACUCACCUGCAAAGAGGAAUA